rnacentral:rRNA from 1 species
UUUUUUUCAAGGGGUGGGCACUAUAUUUUUUUCUUCAAGGAGUGGGUAGGGCGCCGGGGUAGUGACGAGGGUAAAGGCGUGCGUAGCUAGUUGCGCUGUGGCGGCCGCUACUCGCGCUUCGUCGAGACGCUGCGGAACCGGCGGCGCCCCAAGCUGUCGCCUCUAGGCGAGCUGGGCCUCUCGGAGCUGACCCGCAAGGAGGUCCCUCUGCUGAGGUCGGCGCACGAGCGCACCUAGCGGCGGGCGGAUGCGGCGCGGUUGCAGGAGAGGCGGAGGCUGGAGCUUGAGAUACUAGUCGAACUUGAUCUUCCCUUCGAAAACCUCCCCUUCCUGAACCUAAGGCGAAAGCUGUCAUAAAGCCACAAGAGUCUUUAACCUCUCUUGGUACUUAUGUGUAAGGACAGCCUUCUUUCAGACCCUCUGUAGGCGCUGAGUUUUGAUCGUGAAUCUCGACUUCAAAGACUAAACCUUUUUUUUGAGCGAAGAUACCUUACCGUCGAACUAAACGAAUGUCGUGUUCGAUGGUGGUAGUGCGUCCCUUUCUUUAGGGCGUGUAGACGAUUUUGAUCGCGUUGACCUUUUGAACGCUCUAAACUACUCCUUGAACGGCUCUCUUCAAAUCUCUACUUACGUCAUGAACCUUUUGAACAACGAUGCUAGGUCCUCAACAGAAUGAUAGUAAGUCUUCGACCCUCGAGAGGCCAAACAACGGUUUCUUCUGUACGGUUCCCCUCUAAGAUUUUUCGGAGUAGUAAAACAGCAGCUUGAUUUCGCUUAAUUAAGUCAAUUUUUUGUCAUGUAGCUUCGUGUUUACCUUGUACGAUUACUCCUCCGAUGUGAAAGUUUCGACUCUCGAGUCAACCGUAGGGUUGUGAGUAUAUAAGUACUUCUGUAGGUAAGAGAUUCCUCCUCUUUAAGACUUGAAUGUCUUCUCGACUUCCAAGAGAGGGAAGUUCACGUCCUUACGGAUAGACUCUGACAGCGUUCGAACACAAGACUGGACCGAGCUGAACUCCCACGUUUAUAAGACGUUCCCCUAGUAUUGAACUAACAAGUAGCGGUCCUUACGAUGUAUUCGGUCGUUUUUUCCAAGUAGUUAGUAAACCACUUAGUCGAACGACGAGUAGCCAAAGACCGCUAUCGGACGGUCGAACUUUCUGCCUGUUUUUAAAGCUCACGGAUAAGUAACAACUUUCGAUGUCUUUACCUCGACGUCUCGAUGCAUAAUCGACAGUUAUCAGCGGACCUGGUUAUAGUAGAUUAACCGCUUCGGCGCAGAUCGUACUAGCUUCUUCCCAGAUAACUACUGGCCCUAUGAAAAGAGGUACGACACUCCCUAUAAGAAUCGUCAAUGAGUCCAAGAGUUUGUUACUGUGGGUGUAUACAAAGUCGUACACGAAACCAACUCGUCUAUAGACUCGACCUCCUACUCGAGGUGACAAUAGUCGUACUCGAACUUUUACAAGAAGGUGCACUUGCCCCUUCCAAAUAGCUACUUGUUACGUCCUACCAGGUUUGUGAGCUUGUCUAAAAUAGACAUGGGCAAUGUGUAUACGAUGGUUUUAAAUGUGGUACCGGUGACCGCGUUCGUGAACUUCUUAACCUUUACUAGUCGAUACUUCAGAGACGAAGACAAUUACUUCAUUGCUACCGAGCUCUCCUUUUCUGGUUCUACAAUGUCGUCGGAAGUGCGUUACGCGUCGUCCUUUCUGCUAAUAAGCGGCUAAAGAAGACGGUAGGUCCUGCCGAACUCUUAGUUCAGUCUCUCGACUGAAGAGCACAAUCUCCUUAGGGCCUCAUUACAACCCAUCCCACCAGUUAUUCCGUUCACAUCUCAGAACAAACGUAAGAACAGAACGAGUCGAGCUUCAGAAAGGGGGUCUCUAAAAAAAAAAACCUCUUUGUGUUCUGAAAUAAGUAAGUUUUAUUGUUCAUCAGUUCAUGUAGCAAAUGCUCCCAUGUUAAAGUGGGCUUCGGAGGAUUUUGGUCAGUG